GAGGGUGUAGCUCAGUGGUAAAGCACAUGCCUAGCAUGCAUGAGGUCCUGGGUCCAAUCCCCAGCACCUCCA
rnacentral:tRNA from 1 species